GCUGGGCGUGGUGGCACAUGCCUGUAAUCCCAGCUACUUGGGAGGCUGAGGCAGGAGAAUUGCUUGAACUCAGGAGGUGGAGGUUGCAGUGAGCCGAGGUUGCAACACUGCAUCCCAGCCUGGGUAACAGAGUGAGACUCUGUCUCAA
rnacentral:SRP_RNA from 1 species